rnacentral:rRNA from 1 species
AGUCGAUGUCGUAAAGGAAAGAUGUUAUUUCAUUUAAUAUUAUUCUUAAAUAAAACUACUCCAAACCCAAACAUAAAACUAACAAAAAUAAAUAAAUAUAAUUUACUUGCCCUUUUUUAUAAUUAUAAAUUUAAACCAAACUAUUCAAGUACUAUAUUUUUUUUAACUAGUGAUAAACAAAAUAUUAGGCAAGGGCAAAAUAGUAUAAAUAAAAGACAUUUUAGCACCAAUGCUAAAUCUACAGAAUUUAUUAGAAUUCCAAAAGCCCUACAAAUUUAUAAUAAUUUAGAUAAUACAGCUAUAAUUAACGAAAUUAGAAAAGAAUUUAAAGAUAAAUCUAUUAUCUAUGGAAUUGGUAAUAACUUAAAUAAUAAAAUUUAUAUAGGAAGUACCACCAAUCCACAAACACGCUUCUAUUAUCAUUUUAUUAAAUUAGGUAGAAGUACUAAUAAACACCUUCAAAACGCUAUAAAACUUUUAGGAUUAUCUAACUUUUCAUUGUAUAUUUUUUCUGUAAUAGAAUUAUCUGAUUCUUUAACUAAUAAACAAAAACGAACUAUUAUAUUAGGAUUAGAGCAAAAAUAUAUUGAUAUGUUUCCUGUUGAACAACUGUAUAAUUUUUUAAUUGUAGCUGGUUCUCCUCUAGGACAUAAACACUUAGAGGAAACCAAAUUAUUAAUGAGCAUAAAUUCAAAAGGGGUAAUAUUCCAGCUAAUAAAGGUGUCAAAAUGUCAGAAUCAGCUAAAUUAGAAUUAAAACAAAAAAUGUCACAUAGAUUUAAACCUGUUUAUUUUCGUGACGAGAUGGAUAAUCUGGUUACAAUGUAUGAAAGUUUUAAUGAAUGUAGAAGACAAGAAAAAUGUAAUUCUAAAACAUUGUUGAAUUGUAUCAAAAAUGGUAUAUUAUUUAGAGGAUUUAAAGUAUCUAGGUAAAAAAUGUUUUUCGUUUUUUUAUGUGUUAAUGUUGCUCCUGCCUCGCUCCUCCUCAGUCUUCGUAGGAGACGAGGGGAGCAGAGGGAGUAGUUUUUAAUUAAUGAAUGUAUAAAUAGUAUAACACUAUCUCUCCACUUAUCUAGUGAUAGGUAUUGUAAAAUUACCCUAAAUGCUGGAAAGUCCUAAUUAGUUAUAAGUACUUAUAUAAUAAGUCAUAAUCUUCUAACUAAGGAUCAUCAGCAAGAUGAUUAUAAAAACAACACGACUCCUGCCUCGCUCCUCCUCAGUCUUCGUAGGAGACGAGGGGAGCAGAGGUAUAAAAAUGUAACAAAUUACUUUUUAUUUUUGGUUGUUUUCUUCAGAGACUACAUGGGUAACGCUUAAUAAUUUAAGAUGAUGAUAUAGUCCGAUUGUUCCUAAUAAAAAACUAAACUAUUUUAUUAGAAUAAUUGAAUAAUGAUAUUACUUUACUAUUAGUGUUGUCAAAAUUUUUGGUGCCAGAAGACUCGGUAAGGCCAGAAACACAAACGUUAAUCAUCCUAAACAGGCGUAAAGGGUUUGUAGGCUGCUUCUAUAUCUUUAUUUUAAAAGCUUAAUUUAAAAUGAAGAACAAGGAGCUAGAAUCAAAUGGAGGAUAUAAUUUAAAAAAUGCUUAGAGUAGGGAUUAAAUCCUUAGAUACUAAGUGGAAUGCUAGGUGCGUAAGCUUUUUUCCACUAAUGAUUGACGCUGAGAAACGAAGGUGAGUAUAGGGAAUAGGAUCUUAAAAUGCGACCUGCCAAGACUAUUUCAGUAUUGCGGAUACACUCCGUCUUAAUAUUCCAUCUUAUUAGAGUUCGCCUUAAUAAACGAGUAUUGGUAACGAUCUAGUUUAAAGCUUAAGGUAUAAGUUCAAAAUAUUCAAAUCUGUUUAUGUUUUAACUUGAACUGUCUUCAAUGGUUAGAGAAAUCAAACCUAUAUAAAUAAAGGUUCUAUAAUUAGUAUUUUCACGAGUCCUUGGUGAUUAUAAGAUGGACAAAGAGUUCUAGAAUCAAAGUAGGAACCUACGAAGACUAAUAGUACUUAAAUAGUAACAGGGAAACUCCUAUAAUCUGCUAUUUUCAGAUAAAAAUUUAUUUUAAAUAGCAAGGAAAUUAGCAAUAGUUUUUGAUAGAUUAGAGGAAGUAUGACAGCGUAAAAAGCAAAGGCCAUUAUGUAAUGUAAUGGAUAGGCUUAUUAUUUAUUUUAGUAACUAUAUUGGAAUAAAUAAUAACAUAGCUAAUCCGAAAGGAUGCAGACGUACGCAUGGGUGAAUUUAAAGUAUAUUUAAAAUUAAUAUUAUAAAGGACAUGGCCCUGCUUUUCCUGCUCUUUUUGUUUUCUGCUUUUUUUAAAUAAUUCAUUAGCAGAAGCAACAAUGCCUUUAGGCUAAGAGCAGAGAUUCAAAAUUUGUGGUUAAUCCAACUUGUUGGUUGCUUAUUAAUUAAAGCAAGAGAAGCAAGAGGAUAGCCAAGCUUGCCGCUUAGCUAUGCAAGCUGGAAAGGUUCACUAGUUAAAAAGUAAAUUAAUAAACUAUUUUUAAAGGAUAAUAUGCCUACUUAUUUAUGUAUAAUCAUUUAAUGAUCAUAUGUGAACCCCUUUAAUUAAACAAAUUUACUUUAGAUAUUGCCUGAGCCGUAUGCGAUGAAAGUCGCACGUACGGUUCUUUGUGGAAGACAAGCUGUAAAGCUCUAAUUUCACGGUUAGAUACCCUCGUUACCUCUCUCUGUAAACGAUGAAUGGUAGUUAUUAGUUUAAAACUAGUGGCGAUGUUAACACGAUAACCAUUCCGCCUUGUGAGUACGAUUGCAAAAUUGAAAAC